CCUUGUUUCGUCCAGUGCUUCCCCCACUUUCCACUCUUUCUAAUCGCCACUAAUCGGUCAAUUAUUGUCUGUCUGUUGCAAAAGUGCGAAAUAUCGCGCAAAGGUACAUAUUGUAUCUAUCUUUUUUGUAUCUUAAUUUUCUUUAAUCAGAAGUUAUGAUUAGGUCAACUUGAAAUUGUAUUCACGUACAGUAGUCAUUUUAGUGUGAAGUACUUAUUUGAUACUUGUAUCAUUUCACUGUCCAAAGGUGAAGUCGCCGGGUUGCUGUUUGAACUCGCUGAACAACAGAAGAAAUCAGCCAAGUCUGUUUCUACACCUGCUACCUGCUCUAACACCAGUCACGUGGCAGUAAGCGGAAGACAUGAAGCAAGAUUCAGGGAUAGCACGUGGUCAUUGUAAUUGCGUGGGCAGGGAUCAUGUAAAGUUGACAGCGUGGUCACGUGGGCGCCUCACAAAGGAUUCGGAUCAUGACAUGUGCUUAAGAUUGUACUUCGUAAGCUGAAGGUGUGAAUGUCGGAGGUCAUAUCAAGGUCACUAGCCGGGCGCUCUAGGGCGCGUCUUAAAUGAUGGAUUUGAUCCAUCAUAUCUUCAGACACAACUGCUGACUGUGUCUUCAGCCAUGAUAUUCUUAAGAUUGUGCUUGGUAAGCUGAAGACGGAAAUGUCGUCGGAGGUCAUAUCAAGGUCACUGCGCGGGUGCUCAUGGACGCGUCAUAAAUGAUGGUUUUGAUGCAUCAUAUCUGCAGAGACAACUGGUGACUAUGGCUUCAACCAUGAUAUUUUAAAGAACACUUGUGCUGACAGCGAGUCACGGUCUGUUCAUUCUUCAGAUGGUCAUCAAGUCACUGGUCCACCGCAAGUUGCAGCUAUAAGACGGAGAAUAAAGAAUAAUACGUCGUAUAGAACGGACGGACACCGUAGACGUGGUAGACCCCGGAAACGAUGGCGCGAUGAUCUCGACGGUUAUCGAAAAGACUGGAUAGAGCUCGCACAAAACCGGGAUACUUGGAAAGAUAUGGGGGAGGCCUUUGCUCAGCAGUUGGAUCAUAUAGGCUAAUAAUAAUAAUAAUUGUGGCGAGCUGUUGGUGAGUGACGACACCACGGAGCUGAGAUCCCCGAGAGUCGGUCAGGAGCUCCGUCUCCGGCUUGCCUUCACUGGCCGGCCGGAGUGAACCCCAGCGGGGGCCGCAGGACUCUCACCUCUGGCUUGCCUUCAUUGGCCGGCCAGAGUGGGGCGUUAGAGCUAUACGCUCGCAGGGUGGAAGUGAAAGAUGCAUAAGUCGCGAGUUGGUGAGGCGGGUAAACCGCCUCGCAGAAAGCGGUGUACACCUCGAGAGCGACACCCUGAGCUGCUCACGGCCAUGUUGCUGCCUUGCCGUCCAGUCGCGUCGGCUAGAUAGGUGGCCCAUCCAGUGAGUGACGAGUCACCGUCUGCUCAUUAUAUCCAUGUUACCAACAUUGGUCGAGCAGGCGUCAUAGUCCCCCAUAGCUCCAGUAUCCCGGUCCACUAACCCCCAACCCAAUAGCCCAGUUCCCUUUGUUCCCAUAAUCUGUCCUACACGAACCGGGGAUUGUCUUUGGGUGCACUCCCAUAGUGCAUACAGGGAUAAUCGCCGGUUGGUGUCACACAACAUUUAGAUUAAAUUGUCUUAAGGGGCCUCUACGUGUUGGCUUCGGCCCCACGCACGCCUUCCAAAAGUCCGGGGACACAAAUUUUACCACUU
rnacentral:lncRNA from 1 species